AUACCUUUCUCGGCCUUUUGGCUAAGAUCAAGUGUAGUAUCUGUUCUUAUCAGUUUAAUAUCUGAUACGUGGGCCAUCGGCCCACAUGAUAUUAAAUUAAUUUUUAAUGGGGGAGAGCUUGUUACAGCAGCUUGCUGCUCUGGGGCUCUCGAGCGUCGCCCAAGUCUUGCACUACUGCCUGGGCCUGGCGCACCCCUC